rnacentral:rRNA from 1 species
GACGAACGCUGGCGGCGUGCUUAACACAUGCAAGUCGAACGGAAAGGCCCUGCUUUUGUGGGGUGCUCGAGUGGCGAACGGGUGAGUAACACGUGAGUAACCUGCCCUUGACUAUGGGAUAACUUCAGGAAACUGGGGCUAAUACCGGAUAGGAGCUCCUGCUGCAUGGGGGGGGUUGGAAAGUUUCGGCGGUUGGGGAUGGACUCGCGGCUUAUCAGCUUGUUGGUGGGGUAGUGGCUUACCAAGGCUUUGACGGGUAGCCGGCCUGAGAGGGUGACCGGCCACAUUGGGACUGAGAUACGGCCCAGACUCCUACGGGAGGCAGCAGUGGGGAACCUUGCACCAUGGCCGGAAGCCUGAUGCAGCAACGCCGCGGGCGGGAUGACGGCCGUCGGGUUGUAACCCGCUUUCGCCUGUGACGAAGCGUGAGUGACGGUAAUGGGUAAAGAAGCACCGGCUAACUACGUG